UACGGAGGGUGCAAGCGUUGUCCGGAUUUAUUGGGUUUAAAGGGUGCGUAGGCGGAAUAUUAAGUCAGUGGUGAAAGCCAGCAGCUCAACUGUUGAACUGCCAUUGAUACUGGUAUUCUUGAAUUCAGUUAAGGUAGGCGGAAUUGAUGGUGUAGCGGUGAAAUGCAUAGAUACCAUCAGGAACUCCGAUUGCGAAGGCAGCUUACUGGGCUUGAAUUGACGCUGAGGCACGAAAGCGUGGGGAGCGAACAGG
rnacentral:rRNA from 1 species